AGUGCUAGCACUUUGUGUUAGCUGUUUUCUUGUCUAAAAAACAAGGAGAGUAAAGGGCGGGUAAGAUCGGGUGCCAGCCGCCGCGGUAAUACCCGCGCCCUGAGUGGUGCUCGUUAUUAUUGGGUCUAAAACAUCCGUAGCCGGUUCUGUAAAUGCCUAGGUAAAUCGAUAGGCUUAACUUGUCGAAUUCUAGGUAGACUGCAGAACUUGGGAUCGGGAGAGGUUAGAGGUACUUCGGGGGUAGGGGUAAAAUCCUGUAAUCCUUGAAGGACCACCGGUGGCGAAGGCGUCUAACUAGAACGACUCCGACGGUGAGGGAUGAAGCCCUGGGGCGCAAACGGGAUUAGAUACCCCGGUAGUCCAGGGUGUAAACGCUGUGGGCUUUGUGUUGGACAUCCUACGAGGAUGUCCAGUGCCGGAGAGAAGUUGUUAAGCCCACUACCUGGGGAGUACGGUCGCAAGACUGAAACUUAAAGGAAUUGGCGGGGGAGUACCGCAACGGGAGUAGCGUGCGGUUUAAUUGGAUUCAACGCCGUAAACCUCACCGGAGGAGACCACCACAUGUGGGCCAGGCUGAAGACUUUGCCCGAAUAAUAGGUGGAGAGGUGGUGCAUGGCCGUCGUCAGUUCGUACCGUGAGGCGUUCUGUUAAGUCAGAUAACGAACGAGACCCUUGCCUUUAGUUGCUACCUGUAAGUUCGCUUGCAGGGCACACUAGAGGGACCGCUGGCGCUAAGUCAGAGGAAGGAGAGGGCGACGGUAGGUCAGUAUGCCCUGAAUCCUUCGGGCUACACGCGCGCUACAAAGGAUGGGACAAUAGGUUCCGACGCCGAAAGGCGAAGGCGAUCCCGAAACCCAUCCGUAGUUCGGAUCGGGGGGUUGAAACUCACCCCCGUGAAGCUGGAUUCCGUAGUAAUCGCAAGUCAACACCUUGCGGUGAAUAUGCCCCUU
rnacentral:rRNA from 1 species